UACGGAGGAUCCAAGCGUUAUCCGGAUUUAUUGGGUUUAAAGGGUGCGUAGGCGGCUUUUUAAGUCAGGGGUGAAAGACGGUGGCUCAACCAUCGCAGUGCCCUUGAUACUGAAGAGCUUGAAUACACUAGAGGUAGGCGGAAUGUGGCAAGUAGCGGUGAAAUGCAUAGAUAUGCCACAGAACACCGAUUGCGAAGGCAGCUUACUAUGGUGUGAUUGACGCUGAGGCACGAAAGCGUGGGGAUCAAACAGG
rnacentral:rRNA from 1 species